UACGGGGGAUGCAAGCGUUAUCCGGAAUCAUUGGGCGUAAAGCGCCUGUAGGUUGUUUAAUAAGUCUGUUGUUAAAGACUAGGGCUUAACCCUAGGAAAGCAAUGGAAACUACUAGACUAGAGUAUGAUAGGGGUAGAGGGAAUUUCUAGUGUAGCGGUGAAAUGCGUAGAUAUUAGGAAGAACACCGGUGGCGAAGGCGCUCUACUGGAUCAUUACUGACACUCAGAGGCGAAAGCUAGGGUAGCAAAAGGGAUUAGAUACCCCUGUAGUCCUAGCCGUAAACGAUGAACACUAGGUGUCGGGGGAUCGCCCCGGUGUCGUAGCUAACGCGUUAAGUGUUCCGCCUGGGGAGUACGCACGCAAGUGUG
rnacentral:rRNA from 1 species